CAGCCUCAACCUCCCAGGCUCAAGUGAUUCUCCUGCCUCAGCCUCCGGAGUAGCUGGGACUACCAGUGCACCCCAAUGCACCCAGCUAAUUAAAAAACAUUUUAAUUUUUUUUUUAGAGUUGGAGGUCUUGCUAUGUUGCCCAAGCUGGUCUCGAACUCCUGGGCUCAAGUAAUCCUCCCACUUUGGUUCCUCAAAGGGCUGGGAUUACAGAUGUGAGCCACUGCGCCUGACGAGUCGGGGCCUUAAAGCAGAGAUUUUCCGGCUGGAGUCAAAACAUCAAAGAUCUGACUUCUGAGAACUCUUACAGACCUUCAGGCAUCCAUCAUAUUUGGCUCUCUGAGCAGUAUUGGACCCUUCAUGAUGACCUUCUCCAUCUGGAUGGGACAGAACAAAGUGGAUUCGCUUGAGCUAGGGCAGGGCAGGAAACGCCACCAGCUCUCUCUGGGAACACAGCAAGCAGGGAACUUCUGGCGGAGAGUGAACGGUGCCACCCCAGGAGCAGAACCAACACUUCCGUCCGCAGGGACUGGGAGGGACCCUUCCCAUCUUCAGAGAUCUCCUGAUCCCCCUGAGACCCCCGGGUUCCAGGAGGAGCAUGUUUCAUGAGGACAGUCCUUCUCAAGACAGGGUGACUGGUUGCUCCCCUCCCACUGAGGGUGUCACAGCUGGUCCCUCUGUUUCCCUUGGCUGAGAGGGGAAAUAGCCAACAUCUGUCGUUUGCAUAAUGUGUGUGCUUUUGCCACUUAGAAUUCUCUGUUUCUAUAAACAAAUGCUUUUACAAUAAAACUGAAAUGCCAGAAAAAGAGACAACCUACUUUAAGGUCACCACUGCCUCCCAGCAAGGACGUUUAAAAAUAACCCCCGAUCUGCCCUGUGCUCACAACUCUCAUUGCGCCAGCUCAAUGGCAGGCCCAGUGCCACCAGGACAGCUAUGUGGAAGGUUCCGGGUGGGGCACGGGUGUGUGUUAUGGAGGAGGUGAGGGAGGCUGUUCUCAUAACAAUGCUGGCAUCUGGUCUGUGGGUCCACCCUGCCGAUGUCUGUGAAAGGGCAUGUGGUUGGCCCCUGUUAGACCAGUUCUGAUGCCAGUUUCCAGCUAAAGUGAAACUGCUCCAGACCUGAGUGGGAAGUGCACUGUGAGAAGUCAGGUUCACCUGGAGGGUAUGGAUGCCAGGGUGUGGCAUUGGGUGGACAUCAAGCACAUCCCUCAGGGAGUCCUGGGGCUAUUACCUCUAGAAGCUGCUCCAGCAACUCUGCCAGACAGGAUCAUAAACUUUUGCAGCUAAAUCUUGGGGAUGAACUUUUUCAGUAAUUGUCAAGCUGUGCCCCACAGAUUGCUGGUGAUUCUGGGGCAGUGAUAUGGUUUGGCUCUGUGUCCCCACCUGAAUCUCAUGUUGAAUUGUAAUUCCCAAUGUUGUGGGUGGCAGCGGGGGAACCUGGUGGGAGGUCAUGAAUCGUGGGGGCAGUUUUCCACCUUGCUGUUCUCGUGAUGGUGAGUGAGUUAUCACAAGAUCUGAUGGUUUAAAAGUGUGUAGCAUUUCCCCUUCUGCUCUCUUUCUCUCCUGCCACCACGUGAAUACGUGCUUGCUUCCCCUUUGGAUUCCACCAUGAUUGACCCACUGAAGCACGACUGCCAUGGCUGGGCCCCUCUUGCCCGACCUAAGAGGAUGAUUGCACUGGACUGUCCUGUAGAAACGCAGAUAAACAUGAUUCUUGUUCUGAAGAGCUAGACUGCGGGAGCUUUCCAAGUCUGGGAAAUCACAUCUGCUACACUCGCAGGACUAUAAACCUGAGCUGUUUGCAUCUAUAUUGGUAGCAGGCAAGUUCUGCUCAGGCCCUGCCCAGCCAACUUCAGCACAGUGAUAUUUAUCAGGGCCAGGCAGAAGGGUUCUCAGAAAGCCACCACCCUGGAGUCAGAUGUUCCAUAAGACCUCAGAGAGGACUGCCUACACGCAUCUAGGUUGGAAGCGGCAGUCGUGCGAGGCAUGGGAUGUUUUCUGAAGGGACUCAAGAAACACUUUUGAUCUCAGGGAAGGUGGUGGAUAAAGGAAAUUACAUUAACUGUUUGACUUGAGUGUGUGGUGGCCAAGUAGGCUCAUGUCAUUAAAGCCAUCCUUCAGUGGGUGCCUUGUUUAUUGAUAU
rnacentral:lncRNA from 10 species